GCAGUGAUGGCUCAGGGGUGAAGGAGUUGGACUUGAAAUCCAGUAGAAAUUCCCUAUGCAGGUUCAAAUCCUGCUCAGAGUG
rnacentral:tRNA from 1 species